rnacentral:rRNA from 1 species
CGGUAGCCCAGAGGUAGGGGAGUAACGCAGCGAAAGACUGUGCUAAUACCGCAUGUGAUCUGAAGAUGAAAGCGGGGGGACCAAGCAGCAAUGUUUGGCCUCGCGCCUCUGGAGCGGCCGAUGUCAGAUUAGGUAGUUGGUGGGGUAAAGGCCUACCAAGCCGACGAUCUGUAGCUGGUCUGAGAGGACGACCAGCCACACUGGGACUGAGACACGGCCCAG